UAUUAUGGCUCAGGAUGAACGCUAGCUACAGGCUUAACACAUGCAAGUCGAGGGGCAGCGGGAUUGAAGCUUGCUUCAAUUGCCGGCGACCGGCGCACGGGUGAGUAACGCGUAUCCAAUCUUCCGUACACUCAGGGAUAGCCUUUCGAAAGAAAGAUUAAUACCUGAUAGUAUCUUAAGCACACAUGUAAUUAAGAUUAAAGAUUUAUCGGUGUACGAUGGGGAUGCGUUCCAUUAGGUAGUAGGCGGGGUAACGGCCCACCUAGCCAACGAUGGAUAGGGGUUUUGAGAGGAAGGUCCCCCACAUUGGAACUGAGACACGGUCCAAACUCCUACGGGAGGCAGCAGUGAGGAAUAUUGGUCAAUGGACGAGAGUCUGAACCAGCCAAGUAGCGUGAAGGAUGAAGGUCCUACGGAUUGUAAACUUCUUUUAUAAGGGAAUAAACCCUCCCACGUGUGGGAGCUUGUAUGUACCUUAUGAAUAAGCAUCGGCUAACUCCGUGCCAGCAGCCGCGGUAAUACGGAGGAUGCGAGCGUUAUCCGGAUUUAUUGGGUUUAAAGGGAGCGCAGACGGGUCGUUAAGUCAGCUGUGAAAGUUUGGGGCUCAACCUUAAAAUUGCAGUUGAUACUGGCGUCCUUGAGUGCGGUUGAGGUGUGCGGAAUUCGUGGUGUAGCGGUGAAAUGCUUAGAUAUCACGAAGAACUCCGAUUGCGAAGGCAGCACACUAAUCCGUAACUGACGUUCAUGCUCGAAAGUGUGGGUAUCAAACAGGAUUAGAUACCCUGGUAGUCCACACGGUAAACGAUGGAUACUCGCUGUUGGCAAUAUACUGUCAGCGGCUUAGCGAAAGCGUUAAGUAUCCCACCUGGGGAGUACGCCGGCAACGGUGCAACUCAAAUGAAUUGACGGA
rnacentral:rRNA from 1 species